rnacentral:rRNA from 1 species
UACGUAGGGUGCAAGCGUUAAUCGGAAUUACUGGGCGUAAAGCGUGCGCAGGCGGUUCGUUGUGUCGGUGGUGAAAUCCCCGGGCUUAACCUGGGAAUGGCCAUGGAAACUGGCGAACUGGAGUGUGGCAGAGGGGGGUGGAAUUCCGCGUGUAGCAGUGAAAUGCGUAGAGAUGCGGAGGAACACCGAUGGCGAAGGCAGCCCCCCUGGGCUAACACUGACGCUCAGGCACGAAAGCGUGGGGAGCAAACAGG